rnacentral:rRNA from 1 species
UACGGGGGGGGUAAGCGUUGUUCGGAAUUACUGGGCGUAAAGGGCUCGUAGGCGGCCAACUAAGUCAUACGUGAAAUCCCUCAGCUUAACUGGGGAACUGCGUCUGAUACUGGAUGGCUUGAGUUUGGGAGAGGGACGCGGAAUUCCAGGUGUAGCGGUGAAAUGCGUAGAUAUCUGGAGGAACACCGGUGGCGAAGGCGGCGUCCUGGACCAACACUGACACUGAUGAGCGAAAGCCAGGGGAGCAAACGGG